rnacentral:rRNA from 2 species
GCAAGUCGAACGAUGAAACUUAAAAGAUUUCUUCGGAAUGAACUUAAGUGAAUUAGUGGCGAACGGGUGAGUAACGCGUGAGUAACCUGCCUUACACAAGGGGAUAGCCUCUGGAAACGGAGAAUAAUACCCUAUGAAACUAUCUUAUCGCAUGAAAAGAUAGUCAAAGUGUUUUAGCGGUGUAAGAUGGACUUGCGUCUGAUUAGCUAGUUGGUGAGAUAACAGCCCACCAAGGCAACGAUCAGUAGCCGGCUUGAGAGAGUGUACGGCCACAUUGGGACUGAGACACGGCCCAGACUCCUACGGGAGGCAGCAGUGGGGAAUUUUGCACAAUGGGGGCAACCCUGAUGCAGCGACGCCGCGUGAUUUAGAAGGCCUUCGGGUUGUAAAAAUCUUUUGUAUAGGAAGAAAAUGACAGUACUAUACGAAUAAGGUCCGGCUAAUUACGUGCCAGCAGCCGCGGUAAUACGUAAGGACCGAGCGUUGUCCGGAAUCAUUGGGCGUAAAGGGUACGUAGGCGGUUAGAAAAGUUAGAAGUGAAAGGCUAUAGCUCAACUAUAGUAAGCUUUUAGAAAGUGUUUAACUUGAGAGAUGGAAGGGAAAGUGGAAUUCCUAGUGUAGCGGUGAAAUGCGCAGAUAUUAGGAGGAAUACCGGUGGCGAAGGCGACUUUC